rnacentral:RNase_P_RNA from 1 species
GGCAGCCGCUGGUAUUCCAGAGGAAAGUCCAUGCUCGCACUGUCUGCGAUGACAGUAGUGUCUGUGCUGGUCCAAUCAAUAAGGCCAGGCAUCCGCAAGGAUGACGGCGGAACCUGAUCCCUAAAGGCGUUUUGCCCAUGGGUAAGGUCCUUAAGGUGUCACAGUGACGAAGUCUGUGCGGAAACGCACAGAGUGGAACGCGAUAAACCCCUCAGGCGAGAAACCCAAAUUUGGUAGGGGAACCGGAGAAGGUGAAAUGAAACCACGAUCCGGCUGCUUACGCAGAGAUAAAUGGCUGCCGCGCCGCAAGGCGAACAGAACAUGGCUUAU